UGCCAGCCGCCCCGGUAUUAUUGACCCUGCAACCGUCAAUCGGAAUCACUGGGCGUAUAGCGCUCGUAGGUGGCUUUGUAAGUCAGAUGUGAAAGCCCACGGCUCAACCGUGGAAUUGCAUUUGAUACUGCAUCGCUAGAGUAUAGGAGAGGGAAGUGGAAUUUCUGGUGUAGGAGUGAAAUCCGUAGAGAUCAGAAGGAACACCGGUGGCGAAGGCGACUUCCUGGACUAUUACUGACACUGAGGAGCGAAAGCGUGGGGAGCAAACAGGAUUAGAUA
rnacentral:rRNA from 1 species